rfam:Clostridiales bacterium 45_37 Ley3_66761_scaffold_7470, whole genome shotgun sequence.
UCCAUUGUGAGAUGGAAUCUGAAGGAAGCCUGAGGCAAACCAUUGGUCCGACGGACAGAAAUCAUGUAUAAGGCUUACAGUUCGGAUAAGACUGCUGAACAAGUUGAAGUCCAAUAGCUAACAGAGGACUGGUAGUAGACAUGGCGGAUAGGUGAUGAGAAAGAUAGCGUA